CCUACGGGUGGCAGCAGUGAGGACUAUUGGUCAAUGGCCGAGAGGCUGAACCAGCCAAGUCGCGUGAGUGAAGAAUGUCCUAUGGAUUGUAAACCUUUUUUGUCAGGGAGCAAAGUCUCCCACGUGUGGGUUUUCGCGUUUACCUUCCGCACAAACAUCGGCUAACUCCGUGCCAGAAGCCGCGGUACUACGGAGGAUGCGAUGUUUAUCCGGAUUUAUUGGGUUUAAAGGGUGCGUAGGCGGGUUAUAAAGUUAGCGGUAAAAUCGUGUAGCUCAACUCCAUCCAGCCGUUGAAACUGAUGAGCUUGAGUGGGCGAGAAGUAUGCGGAAGGCGUGGUGUAGCGGUGAAAUGCGUAGAGAUCGCGAAGAACUCCGAUUGCGAAGGCAGCAUGCCGGAUCAAGACUGACGCUGAGGCACGAAAGCGUGGGUAUCGAACAGGAUUAGAUACCCCUGUAGUC
rnacentral:rRNA from 1 species